UACGGAGGGUGCGAGCGUUGUCCGGAAUCAUUGGGCGUAAAGGGCGCGUAGGUGGCCCGGUCAGUUCGUGGUGAAAGCCCGGGGCUCAACCCCGGGAGGCGGGUGGAUACUGGUCAGCUCGAGUCCGGAAGAGGAGUGUGGAAUUCCUGGUGUAGCGGUGAAAUGCGCAGAUAUCAGAAGGAACACCAAUGGCGAAGGCAGCACUCUGGGACGGUACUGACGGCUGAGACGCAAAAGCGUGGGGAGCAAACAGG
rnacentral:rRNA from 1 species